AUACAGUUUAAUGUCUGUGUUGAGUAACGAGAUCGGUCUGAAAUUUUGACUACAUGUCGGUGGCUUUCCUGGUUUAGGCAGUGUUACUAUGUGUGCGCCCAGCAUCUCCGCCGGAGCGUCCGCUUUGCGAGUGAGUGCAUUGAAUAAGUUUGCUAAGUGCGGGGCUAGAGUAUGUGCGAAUUUUUUGUAGUAGUUGUUGGGGAACCCAUC